rnacentral:ncRNA from 2 species
AUAUCUUUGCAGCACAAAGGUUCGCUUAAACGCGAUUAAAAAGGGAAUGAGGGUGUAAAUCCCCAACUGUCUCGCAGCUGUGAGUUCCUUUAUAGCCUACGAACAUUAAAUCCACUGUUCGGAAACGAAUGGGAAGGAGUUUGAAGGAGGAACAAAGUCAGAAGACCUGCCUUGAUAAGAAAGAACGG